CCUACGGGUGGCAGCAGUGGGGAAUAUUGGGCAAUGGAGGCAACUCUGACCCAGCAACGCCGCGUGAAUGAUGAAGGUCUUCGGAUUGUAAAGUUCUUUUCUAAGGGAAGAAGAAAGUGACGGUACCUUAGGAAUAAGCCUCGGCUAACUACGUGCCAGCAGCCGUGGUAAUACGUAGGAGGCAAGCGUUAUCCGGAAUGACUGGGCGUAAAGGGUGCGUAGGUGGUUCAGCAAGUUAGUAGCGUAACCCCGGGGCUCAACCUCAGCACUACUACUAAAACUGUUAGACUUGAGUGCAGGAGGGGCAACUGGAAUUCCUGGUGUAGCGGUAGAAUGCGUAGAGAUUAGGAGGAAUACCAGUGGCGAAGGCGAGUUGCUAGACUGUAACUGACGCUGAGGCACGAAAGCGUGGGGAGCAAACAGGAUUAGAUACCCUAGUAGUC
rnacentral:rRNA from 1 species